rfam:Lingula anatina scaffold222, whole genome shotgun sequence.
CCCACCAUUAAAGUGGCUGUGAUGUGUUGAUUGUAUACUCAUAUCACAGCCUGCUUUGAUGAGAGGGA